rnacentral:rRNA from 1 species
ACAGAGGGGGCAAGCGUUGUUCGGAAUUACUGGGCGUAAAGGGCGCGUAGGCGGCCUGCUAAGUCGAACGUGAAAUCCCUGGGCUCAACCCAGGAACUGCGUCCGAUACUGGUUGGCUUGAAUCCGGGAGAGGGACGUGGAAUUCCAGGUGUAGCGGUGAAAUGCGUAGAUAUCUGGAGGAACACCGGUGGCGAAGGCGACGUCCUGGACCGGCAUUGACGCUGAGGCGCGAAAGCCAGGGGAGCAAACGGGA